rnacentral:tRNA from 1 species
GCGGGAGUGGUGAAACUGGCAGACACGCAGGAUUUAGGUUCCUGUGCCGAGAGGCGUGUGGGUUCGAGUCCCACCUUCCGCACGA